rnacentral:lncRNA from 1 species
GCCGCACGGAGGCGAAACCUCGGCCAGGAUUUAAGUGGCCAAAAUCGACCCCGUGACAAUAACCAUGACAAGAUUCUACAUAUGAUGCUUUAUAACCUAGCUAGUUUGGGAUUGAGGCGUGGUAGUGGUAGUUAAUCUUUGAUCUCUUUGGCCGGUGUUAAAAGAACACAAUUAUAUGUAGGAAAAUAAGUUAGGUCCAUAGUUGUGCAAAUCAACAACAACAACUAUCCAGUAUUGUCCCACAAACUGGGGCCUGGGGAGAGUAAUAUGUAGACGAGCCUUACCCCUACCCGAAAGGAUAGAGAGGCUGUUUCCAGUCGACCCU